GCGCCCUUAGCUCAGUUGGAUAGAGCGUCUGGCUACGAACCAGAAGGUCGGGAGUUCGAAUCUCUCAGGGCGCACCA
rnacentral:tRNA from 6 species